rnacentral:tRNA from 1 species
GCCGACGUAGCUCAGUUGGUAGAGCAGCGGUUUUGUAAACCGCAGGUCGUAGGUUCAAGCCCUAUCGUUGGCU